AUAAAUAUUAGAAUCGGGAGAACAAAUAGUAAAAAACAGUCUUCCAUUUCUUUAUAGUGAAGGAGUUGAACUGAUUAUACUGCACAUUUUGCUUCUUCAGAUUGGUGCUCCAAAUCUUUUUGCAUCUUGUAUUAGAGACAGAAGCAAGCCAGACAGCAUUAAAAAGAUCUCUUCUAGUAAUAUAUGCUUCAUCUAUGAAGACAAUGACCUUGACCAACAGUGACAGACCAGAUAUUCUCCAUCUGAGUCAAGUAGAAGAGUAAAGCUGAUCCUGUGAGUAUCCUGUGAGCAAAGUACAGUCUUAGUCUAGUGUACAGUGACACGAGAUUUGUUUCAUUUCCUGUCUAAUUCUGUGCUACCAAGUUCUCUAGAAAUGUGUCAAAUCACGUGAUUUAUGUCCCUAAAUUAUAUUUCUUUUGCUCUGAAUUGUAUACUACUGAGACUGAAUUGUCA
rnacentral:lncRNA from 1 species